GACGAACGCUGGCGGCGUGCCUAAUACAUGCAAGUCGAGCGGACUGAAUGGGAGCUUGCUCUUGUUCGGUCAGCGGCGGACGGGUGAGUAACACGUGGGCAACCUGCCCGCAAGACCGGGAUAACUCCGGGAAACCGGAGCUAAUACCGGAUAACACCGAAGACCGCAUGGUCUUUGGUUGAAAGGCGGCGCAAGCUGCCACUUGCGGAUGGGCCGGCGGCGCAUUAGCUAGUUGGUGAGGUAACGGCUCACCAAGGCGACGAUGCGUAGCCGGCCUGAGAGGGUGACCGCCCACACUGGGACUGAGACACGGCCCAGACUCCUACGGGAGGCAGCAGUAGGGAAUCUUCCGCAAUGGGCGAAAGCCUGACGGAGCGACGCCGCGUGAGCGAAGAAGGCCUUCGGGUCGUAAAGCUCUGUUGUGAGGGACGAAGGAGCGCCGUUUGAAGAAGGCGGCGCGGUGACGGUACCUCACGAGGAAGCCCCGGCUAACUACGUG
rnacentral:rRNA from 1 species